rnacentral:lncRNA from 1 species
CUCUUAUUUUCAAACAAUACACACUAGAAAAAACUUGAAUUCUCUCUCUCUCUCUCUCUCUCUCUCUCUCUCUCUCUACUUGUAAAAAGAUGGUGAUCAUGGAGAAGAAAACGCAGAGUAGAAGGAAGAUUGAAAUGAAGAAAAUAAAAAAAUUGAGCAACAGGCAAGUGACUUUUUCCAAACGUCGAGUCAGUCUUUUCAAGAAAGAGAGCAAAAUCUGUGUUCUGACCGGCACUGAAGUCGCCAUUGUCAAAAUCUGUGUUCUGACCGGCACUGAAGUCGCCAUUGUCGUACAAUCCUUGACCGGCAAACGCGUCUUUACUUUUGGGCACUCCAGCGUGAAUUCCAUAAUUGCUCGGAUCAAGAAUGAAAUUACAUAUGAUGGGUCUGCGAAAAACUACAACAAAACGCCAGAUUAAGAGGGAUUAUUCGAAGGUUUCUAUAGAGCUGGAGGAGAAGAAGAGGCGCCAACAGGAGGGGGUGAAUGAUGUGGUUGGUUUUGGUGGGACAUGGAUGUUGAAAACCUUGAACUGGAUGAGCUUGAGAUGUUCAAGGUGGCGUUGGAGGAGAAGUUGAAGAAUUUGAAAACAAAAGCAGAGCCUUCUUCUUCAUUGUUAAUAACAUAAGAGCUGUUCAAGAUUUUGAACAUGGAAAUAGAGAUGUCUUGUUCAUUAAUAAGAGCCGCCCCACCUCGGGGAUUACAUGGUGGAAUCCAAUCAUGGAAGUAUAUUCUUAAUUUUGUACAAAUUACAGUUUAACAACGUUAAACUUCAUAGUUUCUUUUGAUUAGUUGAGUUGUUCUCCCUGUAGAACCAUGUUGAUUUUGUCAUUUUUGUUCAUACUUAUGUUAACUGGAG